AUGAAUUAAUUAAUAAUAACAAUCGUUUACAACCGCUACGGCGAUUACAGCCAUAGUUACCGAUGUCGGUUAAAAGAUCUAGUGAAAAAAAAAGAAAAAGAAAAUUAUCUUCAGGUACAAUAUUGUAGUCGGGUCAAAACGCGAUUUUGACGGAUUUCGGAUAAGCGCGAGCGCGAUACCCUGACACAUCCUGAAUGACGCCCCCGAAUGACGCGCGACGAAUAGUCCAAUAUGCGAUUUUGUUGUUGAAAACGAUCGAGAUCGAUCGCGAACCGUUUCUGAAUCGUCGCGACGGAACCUGAAUAAUCGCCCGGAUCAAUAUGCGACGCGUCCUGUCGGCACACGACUUCACGACUGCCGAAUUCGGUCGGGUGUCUGUGACAGUUGUUUUAUGUGAUAUCUGACAAAGAUAAAGCUCACGAUCCUACAAAUCUGACGUGUUUUCGAGUUUCGUACGAUCGUACACGACUCUCGUGCACAAGCUAUAAAAUAUUACGUAUACAUAUAGAAUAUCGCACGUUUCAAAAGCUGUUUUUUUAAUUUAAUUU